rnacentral:lncRNA from 1 species
AACUUGGCAGGGCUGAUUAGGAAGACCCAGUUCCUGACCACCGAUGCUUUGCUACGCUAGGCUGGAAAAUGCCUCCCUCUGCCCUUGAGAAGGGGGUCUGAAUGUUUUGUGGGACUAACACCGCAGCAACAUUCCGGUGUGUUUCACUCUGCUGCCUCCUGUUUCCCUUGAAGUUUUCACCAGACCCUGGAUUUCUUUUUCACUUCCUGUUCUGAGCCAUUGCCGGGCACUCAUUACCCACCAGCUGUGGCCCAGCUGCUGCAUUCUACACUAGAGGUGGCGCCCUGCACCUGGCGGAAAUGAAGAGAAUCAGAGUACCCACCUUGAAUUCUGAUAUGAAAGAUUUAGGAUAAAAGAGCUACUCCAUCAGCCUGGAAAGAUCACUCACUGGCAAACUCUUAGAUAAAGAUGGCAGAAGCAAUUCUUCAGUGAAGGCUUCAAGCAACACCUCCAAACUUCUGACACAUCUGGGAAGCGGUGCUGUAGAGCUGACCUACCUUGAAUGAGACCUUUAAAUGUUGAUUCUCUAACUGCAGGUCAACCCUCCUUCAAGACACUUGACUCCCUGGUUUUCCUUCUUGACUCACUGCUCAGGAGACUGCCCCUUUAUUGAUAAUUCUGCUCCACUUCUGCUUUCAACCUGCAUAUUCUUCAUGAGGAAUCUACUUGAUCCUUGAUCCUAUACCCACCACUUCUCCACUGGGUUUCCCUUUUCUUAGAUUCAUCCGUUUCCAUUAGCAGCCACAUUCCUCCAGACACUGCCAUCACUGUGACACUAAUUUGGCUUGCCUUCUGGCAACU